rnacentral:rRNA from 1 species
ACCAGCGACGAUAGCACGCUGAAUGCACCAGUUCCCCUAGGACCACUGAAGUUAAGCAACGUUGCACGUGGUCAGUACCUGGAUGGUGACCAUCUGGGGAAUCGCGUGCUGCUGGGC